ACCAUCAUCGUCCAGCGGUUUAGGAUAUCGGGUUUUCAAACAAACGGCAAAGUUGAAUUCCCCGGAGACCGGGGUUCGAACCCCCGUGAUGGUG